ACAUGGAUAGGUGGGAUUCAGGGAAUCACAUUCCCACCUGGGAUGCUCCUUACACAGCACAAAUCACGGCUACGUCACGAUGUGGGCCUGGGUGUCACAGACAGGCAGAGCUGCCACUGGCACAGGAUCAGGCUGCAAACCCAUCCCUGCCAGGCUGGAGAGGGAUGCAGAGCUCGGGGCUCCCUUAUUGCAGCACUGCAGGAAGACAAUCAAAAGAAAAAGUUAAUGAGGGAGAUGCCAGAGGCCCAAUCUCCUGCCCAAGAAGCUGGCACCAUUCCCUCCCUGCACCCAUCACACUGUGGCCUGCCCAGACCUUCUCACGGGGCUCUGUGAGGUUCCACUGAAAAUCCCACCGAGAGGAAUUGGGAGCUUGGAGAGAUAGGAAAAAUAGGCAGGACAAGCUUGAAUCCUGGGUCCUUUCUCUGUUUCUCUGCAGGUUUUUAUUUGUUUGUCUCCAGCCCAACCCCUCUGGUUUUCUUGCAGAGAUGAGGCUUUUGUGAGAACAAAUAUUAGUUUUAACAAACAAACAAAUAAAAAGAAGGAAAAUCU